CCAAUGUGAACCAUACCAAACUGUUGCCUCGGCGGGGUCACGCCCCGGGUGCGUCGCAGCCCCGGAACCAGGCGCCCGCCGGAGGGACCAACCAAACUCUUUUCUGUAGUCCCCUCGCGGACGUUAUUUCUUACAGCUCUGAGCAAAAAUUCAAAAUGAAUCAAAACUUUCAACAACGGAUCUCUUGGUUCUGGCAUCGAUGAAGAACGCAGCGAAAUGCGAUAAGUAAUGUGAAUUGCAGAAUUCAGUGAAUCAUCGAAUCUUUGAACGCACAUUGCGCCCGCCAGUAUUCUGGCGGGCAUGCCUGUCCGAGCGUCAUUUCAACCCUCGAACCCCUCCGGGGGGUCGGCGUUGGGGACCUCGGGAGCCCCUAAGACGGGAUCCCGGCCCCGAAAUACAGUGGCGGUCUCGCCGCAGCCUCUCCUGCGCAGUAGUUUGCACAACUCGCACCGGGAGCGCGGCGCGUCCACGUCCGUAAAACACCCAACUUCUGAAAUGUUGACCUCGGAUCAGGUAGGAAUACCCGCUGAACUUAAGCAUAUCAAUAAGCGGAGG
rnacentral:rRNA from 1 species